GGGAAUGUGGCUCAGUGGUAGAGUGCUUGCCUAGCAUGCAUGAAUCCCUGGGUUCCAUUCCUC
rnacentral:tRNA from 1 species